GCUGCUGUAGCUCAGGCGGUAGAGCGCAUCCUUGGUAAGGAUGAGGUCACCAGUUCAAAUCUGGUCAGCAGCUCCA
rnacentral:tRNA from 1 species